rnacentral:ncRNA from 2 species
CUCUUAUCCAGAGAGGCGGAGGGACUGGCCCGAUGAAGCCCGACAACCAGCAUUCUCAUUUGAAUGCAAUGGUGUCAAUUCCUGCAGUACCAAGUACUGAUAGAUGAGAG